rnacentral:misc_RNA from 1 species
UGCAGAUUUAAUUAAUAUAAUAAAUGAAAAGAAAAUUCCAUGGUUGCCGGUCACAAACUGAGGUCAUAUUAUUGACUUCUAUUGAUCUGCUUCCUAGAAGGAUAGCAAUUGUUGUUGCUGCAGACGAAUUUUUUUGGGAACUCCAUCAAACGGUUGACUGUACAAACUGUAUAAUUGAAGAGGACUGCUCUUUCCUUUUGGUUAGAACAAAAAUUUCAGUAUCAUUUUUUGGAAAUAAGACAUAAGUUGUUGGUACCCUGAUGAUUUAUAUUUGAUGGGUCUGGAAAUUGGAAAUGAUUUUGCUUGACACAUUCAUGCAACUUGGGCACUUUGAGAAGCAUUGCUACUAACUGGAAAGGAAGCAAUUAAGUGGAGCAAGUGACAUUUUUCAGGGAUGGCUGACAGCAAACAGUAGUUACCAAUCAAAGAAAAAGAAAAUUUUCUUGAUUCAGCAGCUUGCAUUCUUCAAGCCAAACGUUUUUCUCUCGGUAAACAGUAUCAUAUUUCCGUAAUCACUAUUAAGGCACACUGCUUAACAGUACAUUUAACGGGCCUCAAGCAAAGAGAAAGUAAUUUCAUUUACUGUUACUGAAGAUGAUCCAAGCUUGCUCGAAGACGAAUCUGCCAUGUCUAGACCUUUGUCCUUAACGAAGCCUGGUUGCUUGGGUUGAGGAAAUGUAUUUUCACUAUUUAGCAUCAAAACUAUAGAUGCCAUGCUUGGCCUAUCAACAGGAUGUUGUUGCACGCAUAGGAGACUAAUGUGCACGCACCGUGAUACUUCGGAUAUAUUGCAAGACUCUCCCAUGAAUGGAUCAAUUAGUUCUGAAAGUUUGCCUUCUUUCCAAAAACUCCAUGCCUAAAACAUAUUAGAACAACUUGUCAAAGUUGAAGAUGUGAAAAAAGAAAAAUAAACAUAUUAGAAUUCUACUGUGUCACUUACAUGCCCAAUAAGACUACGGCCCUGAUUGGGAUGAUAAAACCCUUUACUUCUCUUUCCGCUUAUUAUUUCAAGCAUUAAAAUACCAAAACUAAAUACAUCAGAUUUUACAGAGAAUAAGCCAUCAGUAGCAUAUUCUGGUGCCAUAUAACCACUGCAGCAUAAAUAGAAACUCCGUCAAUAACAAAUCACUUGGUUUAUAAAUCAUGAAAUGAAGUUACUUACUAUGUUCCAACCACUUUGUUUGUGCUUCCUUCAGUUUGAUCGCCUCCAAAAGUUCUAGCCAUGCCAAAAUCUGAAAUUUUU